rnacentral:rRNA from 1 species
UGGGGAAUAUUGCACAAUGGGCGAAAGCCUGAUGCAGCGACGCCGCGUGAGGGAUGACGGCCUUCGGGUUGUAAACCUCUUUCAGCAGGGAAGAAGCGAAAGUGACGGUACCUGCAGAAGAAGCGCCGGCUAACUACGUGCCAGCAGCCGCGGUAAUACGUAGGGCGCAAGCGUUGUCCGGAAUUAUUGGGCGUAAAGAGCUCGUAGGCGGUUAGUCGCGUCUGCUGUGAAAAUCUCGAGGCUCAACCUCGGGCUUGCAGUGGGUACGGGCUGACUAGAGUGCGGUAGGGGUGACUGGAAUUCCUGGUGUAGCGGUGGAAUGCGCAGAUAUCAGGAGGAACACCGAUGGCGAAGGCAGGUCACUGGGCCGCAACUGACGCUGAGGAGCGAAAGCAUGGGGAGCGAACAGGAUUAGAUACCCUGGUAGUCCAUGCCGUAAACGUUGGGCACUAGG